CAUGGCAUACAGACACUUUAGAAGUUUCCAUGAUUAUAAAGGCUUUACUAGCCACCGAAAUCCAGGAGGAAUCACAGAUAUAACACUGAGAAGCAGAAGAGAGACAGCGUGUUCCUGGCAGACUCAAAAUUAUCUGGAAGCACAAAAAAAACCAAGUGAACCAUUGUCUUCAGGUCCUUCAUGGCUUUUGUAUAGAUUUGUGGAACCUGAUAUCUUCUGUCUGCUGACUUUGAACAGAACUACAUCUGUGACGGCGGAAAAAAAAUCACAGUCCUGACUGAAAUUAUCCUCAUUAACACAACAAUAAAGAUGCCAUCAUCACUCUACCCAGACUAAGAUUUCAAAGCUAAGACUUUGAUGGAGCCAUGAGACAGAAGAUAAGCUCGAAAAAAGAAAAACAGUCACCUGUGACUGAAAGGGAGGUGUGGACUCCUGUGAUGAGCAGAAAUCCAGUACAUUCCGCAAAGGUAGAUUUCUGCACAAAAUUAUGAGAAGAAUGAGUCAAGCCCACAAUUUCAAGACUCCCAGAACAGAUUUACAAAAAAAAAACCUUACAAUUCAAAAUUCAUCUCCUCUGCCAGCUGUCCCCAUCUUCAUUUUGGCAUUUGCCUCCCACAUCUCCCCCAGUCUUUCCCUUGCACUCAGUUCCCUGCUAUACCAGGUCUUGUAGGGUGUGCAACAUCCCUUGAUUACAUGGUACAUUACCAUGAAACUGGAGAAUUCAUAAUAUCUUAAUUGAGGAAAAGAUAACAGUGCUCUGAACAAAUUUUAUGCUUUUUAAUUUCAUGUUCUGUACUGUUUUAAUAAGAAAUGAUAUUUUGAUGUUAUUCUUUCUGCCAGAGUUUCCU